rnacentral:lncRNA from 1 species
GUUUGCUAGUUUUAUUCAGUUUACUCUUAGCCAAACGAACUAAAAUUAAUUAAACCAGCUAAUGCUAUGGUCAACUUGUUCCAUUAACAUCUGGAUUCGACGAUUCAUUAAUUGGAAAACAUCAAAUAUAUGUGCAUAUAAGCAUAGUGAUAACUCAAAGUUGAACUUAUCUGAUUUGUGAAAAAAAUGAGUGAGAAACAAAAGAAAGAGAUGAAAAAAAUCAGAAGGAUAGCACAAAGAGGAACAUGAUAGUCGGAUCUACGAUGGUAAGAGGGGGGUCAUGUGAUGAUGAUUCACGGCAACAUAGCUUCUACUGGAGGAACUGCUCUUUUCGACUAGACGUCGGCGGAGAAGGAGAGACCGUGGAACCAGCGACUAGACGGCGGCGGUAUUGUGUAGUAAGAUUGGCACGAAAUGAUUCCAAUACCAUGGGCCUUUGCCUUUUAUUGUAUUUGUUCUCACAAGCAAACUGAAACAGAGAUGAAUAGAGUAAUGAGGAAGAGUUUGAUCAUGAGAGAACAACAUCAGCUACACCAUGGCAAUCGUGAAAAAGGAGAAGAAAUACAUGUGAAGAAGAUGAUCAAUUUUUUUAAAAAAUAAUGUCACAUUGGUUUGGUGUAAUAGUAGAAAUGAAAUUAUAUGUCACAUUGGUGUCUAUUAGCAAGUUUCUCAUGAAGGAAACUUGUGAUGGGGCAAACUUGCAAAGACAGUCAGCUCGAGACUGCUCUGUAGAGAAGGUAAAGGAUUGAGCGUAACAAGUUGUGCAACUCAUUCUUACUGUUGAAUGUUGAAUCUGAGAGAGAAAUU